GUAGGUGGCAAGCGUUGUCCGGAAUUAUUGGGCGUAAAGCGCGCGCAGGUGGUUCUUUAAGUCUGAUGUGAAAGCCCCCGGGCUCAACCGGGGAGGGUCAUUGGAAACUGGGGAACUUGAGUGCAGGAGAGGAAAGUGGAAUUCCACGUGUAGCGGUGAAAUGCGUAGAUAUGCGGAGGAACACCAGUGGCGAAUGCGACUUUCUGGCCUGUAACUGACACUGAGGCGCGAAAGCGUGGGGAGCAAACAGGAUUAGAUACCCUGGUAGUCCACGCCGUAAACGAUGAGUGCUAAGUGUUGGGGGGUUUCCGCCCCUCAGUGCUGCAGCUAACGCAUUAAGCACUCCGCCUGGGGAGUACGGUCGCAAGACUG
rnacentral:rRNA from 1 species